GUGCAGGCAGAGUGUUUACCGUACUAAAACAAGAAAACAAAAUCUCUAGUACAAACAUGGUACAAAGAACCAUGGAUUAUGGUCGGGGAGAAGAAAAUAUUUUCGCACAGUUCAGGGUCUCCUCAGUAAGUUUAGUUUUAGCGGUUUUAGUGAGAAUUGUAGAACUUCAGCGAAGAGUGUGGUGAGUAAAAGUGGAGUGUAGAAAUUCAAAUGUUAUAAAUAUGGUCGGGAAUAGUUGUACAGAAAAGAAAGACAAUUUUUGAAUAAAUUUAUGAAGAGGUUGCAAAAUGUGUGAUAUGCAGGAAGCAGGAUAGCAGCCAGAGGACAUAAUUUACUGGCUUAGAACAUCGGAAACUAGAAAACUGCAGGAAUCUGUCGAUGUCGCACCAUGUUCUUUUAACUUAUGACUUGAAAGGAAUAUUGCAUUAAAAGAGAAAUAUGCUAGUGGCUUUGGCUACAACAGUAACUCCACAUAUUCUUCUGUAUUCAUCGAGCAGCCUUAAUUGGAUAUGGGAGCAGGAGUUCUCACCUUUCGAUAUUCCAUCUCCCAGAAGUUCCCCUAGCCCUGUUAAGGAUCAAAGACUGACGCCGAUCAUCACCCGAUCAGAUUUGGAGUUUUUAAUUGUAGCUGUAUGCGGUGUGUUGGCGGCUUCUUGGUGAAGACGGGAUGAUCAUGAUUUGACCCAUCCCCAGGAACGUCAACCUAAAGAAGGAAAGGCCAGUUUGCAUUUUCUUCACGCUCGAAGGUCGAAACAAAAACGUAAAACGUGCCAUGCGACGGGGUAGAGGUUGGGUGAGGACGACACGUGAUGCAUCAUUAUCAAGCAGACCCACCCCCAGCAACGGAAACCUGAAGAAGGAAAAGGCCAGUUUGCAUGUCCUUGACGUUCGAAGGGAGAUCAUUACGUAUAAUAGCCGCAAGGCUCAAGAGGUGAGGGUGAGGAAAAAUCUUAUAAAAGGAAGAGAGAAAAAGCUAUGGGAACUCAGUCGAGUGAGCACCUCCGACACGGCAACAACUGCAGCUCAUUAUUUGUCACCAACUGCCUUCUUCAUUGUAAUACCGGUUCGCAAUCACGGGUAUCAACAACUAUGGCGCCGUGCUGCUGUUUGGUGUUGUAUGGUUAAUGGUUGGAUCGACCACGGGUGUACAGAUGUCUCCUGGACAUGGUGGAUACCAAGCAACAGCAGCAAAAUAAUAGUACACCACGUCGCCGCCUUACUACACAACAACGUCUAUAUACGCAACAUCUACGAGGUUCCCAUGUACUACACCACCGAGCAUACUGUCCCAGCCUACUUCACCGAAGUCCCCAAGUACUACACGACUACGAAUGCUGGCCCCAUCUUACUACACCGAGGCUCCAUCUUAUUUCAAUACCAAAGCGGUCGAGUACUACACCGAACCGCACGAGUACUACUCUGCCCCGAACUACACAACCACAACUGAGGCGGCCAAGUACUACUUAGCCCAGACUUACAACACAGAAGCUGUUCCUUCCCUCUACGUUGAACUGUAAUACUACACCGAGGAUCAAGUCUACUACACCACAACCUACGCUACACCUAGAUACUACGACGAAGCCCCCCAACUACUACUACACCGAAAAGUCCACAUAACAAAGUACACUGCCCCAGUUUCCUUCACUAAAUGUAACUCUGCUCCAAGCUACUACCAAACUGAGGCUCCCGUCUACUAUACCAGUACACCAAGGCCAUCGAGUAUUACACUACAAUCAAAUGUUAACUAUGGUGUCCUGCUGCUGUUGGUUGUUGUUUCCUUGAUGGUCAAGUCGACCACUGGUGUACCGAUGUCUCGGGUUAAUGUGGAUAUCAAACCCCAACGCCGCCGUCUUAUAACACAACAACAUACGCAACAACCGGUUACUUCCCCACCAAUUCUCCAGAGUAUAAUCCAUAACUGAUUAUGCCCCGAACACCGAAGAUACAAAGUAUAACUCUGCCCCAAGUUACAUCACCAAGACACCGGAGUACUACACCACCAAGGCACCCGAGCUGCGAAAUAUUCCACUGCCCUGAGUUACUACACCAUUAAGGCACCUGAAUGUUACAUCACAACCUUCGCUUCUCCAGUUUACUACAGGGAGGCUAAUAAAUCCUACAGCCAAAGUUUCUGAUGUUUUUAAUUGUGUUCAAAUUUGUCGGUCACAUCUUAAUAGUUACUAAUCACUUGGAAAUUGGAAUCGUUGAGCUUAAAUGAGAAAAUAAAUUUUUUUAUGGUAA